GACUCACUAGCUCAGCAGGUAGAGCACCGCACUUUUAAUGCGAUGGUCCGGGGUUCGAAUCCCCGGUGGGUCACCA
rnacentral:tRNA from 1 species